CAAGAAGGGAGUUUUUCCUUCCCACUGUUGCUGAGUGUUUGCUCAUAGUGGGUUGUAAAAGCAUAAAAGUUAAUAAGAGACAUUCAUAGCAGAGUUAUCACAGCGGGAACUAUAUAGCUUAAAUGUACAAUUUCUACAGGACGAAUUAUAACUUCAUUAUGUAUAAAAGCUCCUGUGGAUAAUUACUCCUAUUUGUAACUUUACACAAGAGAAAGUUUGCUGUCACACUAUUUACAACAGGUUGGAUUUUGUCCUCUGAGUUGAGCCUUUGGUUGCAGUUUAUUGAAGAAUUUCCUCUAAAGUAGCUGUUGAUAAAGAUUUAAAGUCCUGUUUAUAUACAGAAAUAUGCUUUAGUUCAUGUUUUUUUACAUGUCUGCCUCAGUGGAUCAGUAGAAGAUCUGGCACAGGAAACUAGAUGAUGAAAAAAGGGGCGGAACUCAUGGUGGGUUCACGCCCUCGGCCCACGCCCCUCUGAAGAGGAAACACCUGGGCCUCAUCAGUGCAGCCAGCAUUUAAGCCAGGGAGUGGCUUCUUCUCAUCGCUGGAUCGUUGUGUGUGACUCGCAUCCCCUGGACCCGACUCUGCAUUCCCCGAGCGGAUUCCCUUUUUGUGUGAGUGUUUGGAGAGAGAGUCAGAAGAGGAGCAAGUGUCUUUCCCCUACCUGGAUUUCCCCGGAGCCUUUUCCCUGUCACCGCUUUGUAUAUAGCACUAUCCCCUGCACUGUUUGUAUAUACACCUGGUGGAACUGUAAUAAAUACUGACUGUGCCUCUGAGUCCUGCGUGUGAGUCCUCAAGCGAACCGUGACACCCACACAGAUGAGAGCUUAGCAGUGAAGCUCUCUCUUAAAAUUGGAGUUAUAAAGUCAGAUUUUAUCACUGACAGAGAUCCAUGUUCUUUUAACAUAAAGAAUAUUUGCUGAAAUUGACAUUAAUCCAAGCCCUUAAAACGCC
ensembl:lncRNA